rnacentral:rRNA from 1 species
GACGAACGCUGGCGGCGUGCCUAAUACAUGCAAGUCGAACGAGAGCGACCGGUGCUUGCACUGGUCAAUCUAGUGGCGAACGGGUGAGUAACACGUGGGUAACCUGCCCAUCAGAGGGGGAUAACAUCCGGAAACGGAUGCUAAAACCGCAUAGGUCUUCGAACCGCAUGGUUCGAAGAGGAAAAGAGGCGCAAGCUUCUGCUGAUGGAUGGACCCGCGGUGCAUUAGCUAGUUGGUGAGGUAACGGCUCACCAAGGCCGUGAUGCAUAGCCGACCUGAGAGGGUGAUCGGCCACAUUGGGACUGAGACACGGCCCAGACUCCUACGGGAGGCAGCAGUAGGGAAUCUUCCGCAAUGGGCGCAAGUCUGACGGAGCAACGCCGCGUGAGUGAAGAAGGUUUUCGGAUCGUAAAACUCUGUUGUUAGGGAAGAACAAGUGCUAGAGUAACUGUUAACGCCUUGACGGUAUCUAUCCAGAAAGCCACGGCUAACUACGUG